AUUGAACGCUGGCGGCAUGCUUUACACAUGCAAGUCGAACGGUAACAGGUUAAGCUGACGAGUGGCGAACGGGUGAGUAAUGCAUCGGAACGUGCCCGGUCGUGGGGGAUAACGCAGCGAAAGCUGCGCUAAUACCGCAUACGAUCUGAGGAUGAAAGCGGGGGAGCGUAAGGCAUCGCGCGAUCGGAGCGGCCGAUGUCAGAUUAGGUAGUUGGUGGGGUAAGGGCUCACCAAGCCGACGAUCUGUAGCUGGUCUGAGAGGACGACCAGCCACACUGGGACUGAGACACGGCCCAGACUCCUACGGGAGGCAGCAGUGGGGAAUUUUGGACAAUGGGCGCAAGCCUGAUCCAGCAAUGCCGCGUGCAGGAAGAAGGCCUUCGGGUUGUAAACUGCUUUUGUACGGAGCGAAAAGGCUCUCUCUAAUACAGGGGGCUCAUGACGGUACCGUAAGAAUAAGCACCGGCUAACUACGUGCCAGCCGCCGCGGUAAUAC
rnacentral:rRNA from 1 species